rnacentral:rRNA from 1 species
AUGUUUAUUGUUGUUUUGUUAACUGUACAGAACGAGGACGCAUCCAAGGUUGAGUAUAGGGCUCCUGGAACACGUGUGCUGUACCUCGGAGCUGCCUUUGGAACAACCGUGCCCCAUGUGUCUGACACUGUUGGAACAACUGGGUUGGUGUAUGCCGUUGAGUUCUCUCACCGGAGUGGUAGGGAUCUUGUCAACAUGGCCAAGAAGAGGACCAAUGUCAUCCCCAUCACUGAGGAUGCUAGGCACCCGACAAAGUAA